rfam:Gossypium arboreum cultivar AKA8401 contig_69090_3, whole genome shotgun sequence.
AUACUGUGGUGUGGGCACUUCCUAAGUAGUGACUUGAAGCGUUCCCAAGCUUCAUAUAAAUUCUGACUUUUGAAUUGCUUAAAAUUAGCAAUAUCAUUCCUGAAUUA